AUAUAAUUCGAGGGGUUGUCGCUGGCCUCGCUCGCGCGAGGCAUGUGCACGCUUCUCGUUUUUCUCUCAACUCACCUGUGCACCUAAUGUAGGAUGCCUCUCCUCCGGGAGGGGGGACCUAUGUCUUCGUAACAUCUUCGUGUAGAAAGUCUUUGAAUGUUUACUAUCAUCGAGUCGCGACUUCUAGGAGACGCGAUUCUUUGAGAUAAAAGUUAUUACAACUUUCAGCAACGGAUCUCUUGGCUCUCGCAUCGAUGAAGAACGCAGCGAAAAGCGAUAUGUAAUGUGAAUUGCAGAUCUACAGUGAAUCAUCGAAUCUUUGAACGCACCUUGCGCUCCUCGGUGUUCCGAGGAGCAUGCCUGUUUGAGUGUCAGUAAAUUCUCAACCCCUCUCGAUUAGCUUYGAGAGGGWGCUUGGAUAGUGGAGGUUGCCGGAGACUUGGAUUCGUCCGAGACUCGGGCUCUUCUGAAAUGCAUCGGCUUGCGGUCGACUUUCGACUAUGYGCGACAAGGCUUUCGGCGUGAUAAUGAUCGCCGUUCGCUGAAGCGCAUGACUGAAYGUCCCGUGCCUCUAAUAYGUCGACCGCUUAUUAUCUCUCCGGAGAGAACAGGGUCUUCCUUAUUGACUUUUGACCUCAAAUCAGGUAGGACUACCCGCUGAACUUAAGCAUAUCAAUAAGCGGAGGAAAAGAAACUAACAAGGAUUCCCCUAGUAACUGCGAGUGAAGAGGGAAAAGCUCAAAUUUUGAAUCUGGCGGUCUUUAGGCCGUCCGAGUUGUAAUCUARARAGCGUUUCC
rnacentral:rRNA from 1 species